rnacentral:rRNA from 1 species
UACGUAGGGGGCAAGCGUUGUCCGGAUUUAUUGGGCGUAAAGAGCGUGUAGGCGGCCAGAUAGGUCCGUUGUGAAAACUGGAGGCUUAACCUCCAGCUGUCGAUGGAAACCAUCUGGCUAGAGUCCGGAAGAGGAGAGUGGAAUUCCCGGUGUAGCGGUGAAAUGCGCAGAUAUCGGGAAGAACACCCGUGGCGAAGGCGGCUCUCUGGGACGGUACUGACGCUGAGACGCGAAAGCGUGGGGAGCGAACAGG